UACGAAGGGUGCUAGCGUUGUUCGGAAUUACUGGGCGUAAAGCGCGCGUAGGCGGCUUAACAAGUCAGGGGUGAAAUCCUGGGGCUUAACCCCAGAAUUGCCUUUGAAACUGUUAGCUUGAGUGUCGGAGGGGAUAGCGGAAUUCCUAAUGUAGAGGUGAAAUUCGUAGAUAUUAGGAGGAACACCGGUGGCGAAGGCGGCUAUCUGGACGACAACUGACGCUGAGGCGCGAAAGCGUGGGGAUCAAACAGG
rnacentral:rRNA from 1 species